UCGUUAACCACUGUGCCAUGACGGGAACUCCAUGGCAACUUUCUUAUGUUCUACUUCACUUAAUCUCCAUGACUACUCUCUGAGCAAAGUGGGAUUCUCCCACUUUACAGAUGAAGCCAUGGAGCUGCAGCUAAAAGGCAGUGCUUGCCCAAGGUCUCACACAGGUCAUAUGAGAGAGAGGUGUGAAAUGAGAUCUUUUGUGGUUAAGCUCAGCAGUCUCCCCUGUUAGUUCCUGAUGUGCCUGUGGGUCCCCUGAUAUACCUUAUUCUCCCUCUCUGGGGCAGGAGAGGGGGUCUUGGUUGAAGGACUGACCAAGGGUGGACUCGGAGCCUUUGGCAAGGCAUAGAGGGAUGAAAAGCAUCAUAUAUCUGGUCCACCCAGGGCUGGUGCUUUGUCACAUCCCUCUGAGCUCUGGCAGUCUGGGUCUCCAGGAUCAUAAAUUUGAUUUGACUGAUUUCACAGUCAGCAUCACAUAAGCAGAUGACCUCCAGGGAGCCCAGUGGGUGGCAGAACCGUUCUGAUCAGCUUGUACAUAGAGUGGCACUCCCUUUCAACAUGGUUCUUAUUAGGAGUAUUUGGCUACACCUUCAGCCAAGUCUCCCCAGUGGAAACAGUUUGGCCCAAUAAAAACUCAAAACACUUAAAAUACUAGUUGCUAAUUCUCUCAGCCCUGGCUUUGUGAAGGAGGUUUCCUUGGAUUUGGAAAUUCCCUUUGAGGUUUUUACAUUUUCACUUGUCACUUAACCCUGGAAUGAGAUCACAAAAUGCUCCAACAAGUGCAAUAUUUUGGGGCCAACAGACCCAUGUUAAGUUUUAUAGCAAAUGCUGAAAACAGUAAUAGUCACCAAAGCCAUCGCAUACAAUGAACUAGGAAUCAGGUAUGAGGUACUACGUUUAUAAACAUUCCCUCAUACAAUCCUUCCAGAAGCCCUGCUAUGAUUCUAUCUCAUUUUACAGAUAAGGAAACCGAGGUUUAAGAGAAUGAAGUCACAUGUCUAUUAAAUGGCAGAGUGAGGAUUAAAAUCUAAGUCUGAAGUCCGGGUUCCUACUCACUGUUUAAUAGUAAGAAAAAGAAAUUUCCAUUCAUUUCCUUAAGCACCAGACAAUUUCUCUCUCAACUGGGAACAAUCUUUGUCUUCACCAGAUUAUCAAACUAUUUUAUCUGAAGCUAAAAUACAGCAUUUAUCACUUUUUGUCUUGAAUUACAGUUGCUUAGGGCUAUGCCUCAUCUCAGAUUAGACCGUGAGCUUUUACAAAAGAGAGUUCAUGUCUGAUUCUUCUCUUUCUCCGCAGGGUCUAGCACAGUGCCUGACACAGGAAGGCACUCAGCCAACAUGUGGUACAAGAACAAUAUUAAUAAUAAAAGCAAUAAACCCAAAAGAUGUUAGCCCCUGGCAUCUCCAAGUGAGGUUCAAGGGUAAAUAGCAUCGACAACCCUGGACUGCUUGUUAGAAAUACAGAAUCUCAGUGAUCCAGUGAAUCAGAAUCAGCUUUUUCACAAGAUCCCAAGGUGAGAAGCAUUGCCUUAGUCCACAUUACAAUUUGAUUUUAAAAAUUGUUUUCCCGGCUAUCUUGGGAUUUACGGAUGAGCAAAGGCUGGCCUGAGAGCCACCUCACCAUGGGAUUGACCUCCUUGUCCCCAACCCUCCAGCGGCCCCUGUAGUUUAUAGGAUAAAGUUCAAACUGCUUAGGCUGGAAUUUAAGAACUGCUCAGCUUGGCUGCAAUGGACUGAUUCUUUGCAACAUGAGUUGACUCUUUUGGCUCCUUUCCUUUUAUCUACUCUGUCCACUAGCCUGAGAUCUCCAUUCCUUUCCCCUCCGCCCCUUCAUCCCUCCCAGGCCUGGCUCAAAUUCCUCCUUCUCAUAACCACAGCCCACCACGCACAGUUUCCUCUGAAGUGUGAAAACAGAAGGAAGGAAUGAGCAGGCGGUGAAGACCUGCUGAGAUCCAGCUCAAAGGCUCCUCACAGCUGGGAAACUCUGCAGAUGGAAGUGCUUGGGGGACAAUUUACUGCUCAACUCAGAGAUGGCCUGUAUGACAGAGAGCUGACUGGGCUUGCUGCAGCCAUGGGAGAAUGUUUGUGGAGAAUUUCCAUGAAGAAGGGACUGGAUGCAGUUCAAUAUUUACUGCGUGUGCUGUUUACAUAUGUGUAGCCCAGACAUCAGCUGGGGGCCUUCCUGCCCCUUGAAAACCAGGCAUUCAGAGAUAUUGCAGUUUGGUUUGAGACCACCGUGAUAAAAUGAAUAUUCCAUGCAAUAAAGCAAGUCACUCAAAUAUUUCGGUUUCCCAGUGCAUAUAAAAGUAUGUUUGCACUAUA